UUGAUUGGUCUUUUCAGCCCUCAAAGUAAAGUCGCUCGCGUUGGGUUUAUGUAUUAGUUUAGUCUGCUGUGAACGUUUCUAGAAUCCGCAUUUACUUUGUAAUCACGUCGGUUAUCAUGCCCCGUUUUUAGUAAUUUGUUUUCAGUGUUGGCAAGGAGAGUCUGUUUCCUAGCUGCUGCUUUGAACGCAUCUCAGCUGUUUGGAAGACAUUCAACGGGCAUUGCUCCAGCAGAUUCCUCUGAAGCCCUGGGUAGAAGGCCAGAUUCCUGCUUCUGUGCAGUGGUAGUCCUGAAGCUGGUGACAGAUCUAGCCGGGCUGGAUUCUUGCUUUUGUGCAGUGGACGACUCCUUCAGUGUUCACUUCCCAGGCUUGCAGGGACCGGAGGUGUCUGGACCGCCCCUUGCUGUGCUGGGUUUUGGUUUCAUCCUGUUGAACGUGCUGAGCCUUGGACGGAGUGGGCAAGGGGCAGCUGAUCUUUGCCUCAUGUGUGUGCAGAAGCACCAGUAUGCCCGAAUCUUGAUCUCCGGGUUUCUGUUGGUGGCUGUGGGGUUGCUGGUAACCGUGGUGGGCUUCUGGUUCCCUCUCUGUAGUCCAAAGCUGGAGUACAAGAACUGUAGCUUCUUGCCGAUGCAGAUCCUGGGCCUAGUGGCGGUGGUGGUGGGGCUUGGUUUACUUAUCACAGGGUGCAUUAGAAGGAAGCAAAACUUCAAUGAAAUGGAAGAAAACCAGGCUCUACCUGAGGGGCUCCCCAAUCACUCUGAGCCACACCACAUCAUAGUAGAAGAUCCUUUUGCUCUUUUCAGGCGACUCUGUCGUCAUAUUUCCAACACCACCCCCAGCAUAUUUUACUGAAGCGCCACCUUUGAGAACUGGAAACCAUGGCAACAUCUCUAUUGGCUAUGAAAGCCCACCACCUUACUACAGUACCUUCAAUCAAAGGGUUGGUACCGGUUUAGGGGAGGAAGAAUCUGUCUACACCAUUAGAGUGUCCAGGGCUUCUAUUGUGGGUUUGCCUUCUCAUCAUAGCUUCUUACCUGAACUACCACCGCCCUACCAAAAGAGGGAAUCUGCAUCCCAGGACCAGCAGGCGGUCUGUCCUUGACUACUGAAAGUUGCUUCAUUUUCUACAUAAACACUUAGAUAUUUAAUAUAUAGUUAUAUUUUAAUGUAAUGUUUUGUGCCGUAUGCUUCUAACCAGGGGUGCUGGAUGGGUUUGAGAAGGGAGGACUGAAAGACCAGAGCAUGGACAACUGUACAUGUUAAAAAUAAUAAUGAAAGGGAGUAGGGGAUCUGAAAUAAUGGGAGAGUGUCUGUUUGUUCCUCUUGAUUUAAAGCAGUUUCAAAUUAUCUUGCGACCUUGGAACCUAAAUUCUCCUGAUUUCAGACUGGAUUUAACCCCUGUGGCCAUCCUAUUAACCCUUGUGUUGAACCCACAACCUGUACCACUACUGAUUGGAAGGAAGACAUGGCUUCUUAUCAAACACUUAAAUCAGGCGAGAGAAAUUGUAUCCAAUGUGGUUAAAUACUGACAGCAAUUUAAACCCAACGAUAAAUUACCCACAUUUACUGUAUUUUAUUUGUAGUGAAUUUUGGUGGUAGUAUCAAUGUAUCCGUUUAUCACAGACAUAAUUUAUGAGUAAAUUGUAUGAUUGAAUUUAUUAGUGCAGUAAGCGGAUGUUUACAGCAUUUCUUAUUCAAGAGAUAACAAACACCCGUACAGAAACUGGAGUCGUCCACCUUCUGUGUAAAGUUACUAGAGUUCUGCACAGGUCGUUGACAAUUCAAGUUGGGCCAGUAAUACAUUAAUGUGUCAAAGCAUACAACAAUAACAUUAUUUUGCAAUGAAUGCUAGUGUAAUGCAGUGCCUAAAGACCAAGGAACAGUCCCUUAAAUAAACAAGUUAGUGGGGGCGGGGGGUAGAUUUCACCCCACAACACUGAAGUUCUGCCAGAUCAGUUACAAGAGCCAGCUUCUGUGCAAAGAUAGAUGAGACAUGUCGGAGAAGAUUUAGGAUGGAGUAAUCCAUGUUCAGUCUGUGUCUCUGGGCCAUUUGUCCGAUAGCAUUCACGUUUUUGCAACAUAGAUCAGUGCAUUAUCAGUUGCAUCAUACACUGCAGCAGCAAGAAUGGUUAAUGGCUCCUUGCUUCCUGUAUUACACACAAGUACUGAAUUGCUUUUUAGAGGGUUCACAUUUAAAAGAAACAUCAUUUAUUUUAUUUUAUUUUGUUGUGCUUUGAUCUAUUGGAUGGUGACAGCUCAAGAAAGGAACGAUAUGAAACACAUGUUACACCAGUUAAGUCUCCUUAAUAGCACUUGACAGUUUAAAGGAAUGAAAAUAUUAGGACUGGUAUUGUCUUCUGCAAAGGAAAUUCAUCUUGAUUGCCUCUUCAUACUCCUCCAGUACAUAAUGUAGAUAUUAUAAAGGAGUAUUGAAGGGGAUCUUGGGGUGGAAACAUACAAGCAUGCAGAUGUAUUAAAUAUUUGAGAGGGCAUUCAUGCGUCAUGGUUAUGAAGCUACAGCUCUGGCAGUGCAUGUUAGUCUCUUGUGUGUGUUUACCUCGAUGGGGAGGUUAAUGCAGUCAUUGGAAUUGUGUUUUUUGAAUAUCACCAAAUGUGUUUUAAGUACAAUAAAGGUUUAAACCCA